UGGGAGCUUGCUCCCUGAUGUUAGCGGCGGACGGGUGAGUAACACGUGGGUAACCUGCCUGUAAGACUGGGAUAACUCCGGGAAACCGGGGCUAAUACCGGAUGGUUGUCUGAACCGCNNNGUUCNNNCAUAAAAGGUGGCUUCGGCUACCACUUACAGAUGGACCCGCGGCGCAUUAGCUAGUUGGUGAGGUAACGGCUCACCAAGGCGACGAUGCGUAGCCAACCUGAGAGGGUGAUCGGCCACACUGGGACUGAGACACGGCCCAGACUCCUACGGGAGGCAGCAGUAGGGAAUCUUCCGCAAUGGACGAAAGUCUGACGGAGCAACGCNNCGUGAGUGAUGAAGGUUUUCGGAUCGUAAAGCUCUGUUGUUAGGGAAGAACAAGUGCCGUUCAAAUAGGGCGGCACCUUGACGGUACCUAACCAGAAAGCCACGGCUAACUACGUGC
rnacentral:rRNA from 1 species